rnacentral:rRNA from 1 species
AUACGGAGGGUGCAAGCGUUAAUCGGAAUUACUGGGCGUAAAGAGUACGUAGGUGGUUUAUUAAGUCAGAUGCGAAAGCCCCGGGCUCAACCUGGGAACUGCAUUUGAAACUAGUAAACUAGAGUAUGGUAGAGGGGGGAAGAAUUUCUAGUGUAGCGGUGAAAUGCGUAGAUAUUAGAAGGAAUACCAGUGGCGAAGGCGGCCCCCUGGACCAAUACUGACACUGAGGUACGAAAGCGUGGGUAGCGAACAGGAUUAGAAACCCUGGUAGUCC